AAUGAGCACUUUUCCCCAUAAACUUCAGGCUUUGCAUUCCGUAUACAGUAUGUGAUAUAGACACCAGUUAAUAAAAACGAAAAUUCUCCUGUAAACAAGAAAAAAGAACAGAUUUAGUUACAAUUUAAUAAAAAAUCAAGAGGUUAAUAUUUAACCGUUAAAUCUUCUGCAAUUUCAAGUGUUUGAGAACAGCUUAAGUCUUAAGAUUUAAAACUUAAGAAUGCUGCCAUCUAGGGUAGCUAUAUAAACUUACUGCGAGUUUAUUUUCAGCUGUUUAUUAACCGCUGAUUAUUUGGUUCACCAUUCAACAAAACCCGGGCAAUAUUUUACUUUCAAAAUGUGACCAUUUUAGUAUUCUGAACAUUUUCUUGAUCAACGUUUGAUCGAAAUGACAAUUUUUUCCUACAAAUGACUGUUGAUUGAUUCACAGUCAAUUGACUAACAAUUUGUAUUGGUUGUUAAUCAAUCAACGAAACCGAAUUAAGAGCAAGAAGACCAAAAAAGGAACAAAUAAAAAUGGAUCAAAGGUAAUCACAUUUCACCAUUGAUUCAAUUUAAUGUGAAUUAUGUUUACAGUCAAACCAAAUAUUGUCUGUCGUAUUGAUUUUCAUCCAUUCAUUUAACUCAAUUGAAAUCAGUACCAAUCAUAUUAUUACCAGACACACAUUAGUGCAAAUGUAAUUUUGAAAAUGUCAACCCAGAGAUUGAUUAACCAGUUUACCAACAUCAUGGAUACCCAAUAUUUGUAACAUCAAAAAUGUUUUUUUCUCUAUUUGCCUAUUUCAUCAGAUCGUAAAUGCAAGCUUUCAAUAUAAAUGGCGAAUAUCUCUCGAUUGUAUGGGAAUUGAUGUCAUUAAUUUCAAAGAUGGAACGCAAAGACCCAGAAGGAUCGUAAAUGUGUGUAAAAUGUUGCUAUUGUAACCUGCAAAAUUGAAAUGCAAUUCAAAGACAAACAAUUUGUUAUUCUGCAGAUAAGUGAACCUGAAAUAGAUCAAGAUUCAUCUUAAUGAAUUUGAAUUUGUGUUCCAACCGAUGAGCAGCAAAGAAAAGAUAGUGAUACGAAAAAAAAGCAAAGCAAAGCCUAACCUACUUAGCAGAAGAUGAAGAAAAGGAAACAUCUCAUGUUGACUCAUUUUCUCUGGUGAACUGGAAAUCCAAUGUUUGAAUAACCAUGUAAAAGGAGAUGUUUUCAUUGGAAUAAGGUUUAUCUUUGUCAAUGUGUUUGUUUUUGUGUCUUCUUUCAGUGGUGUUAACACCGUUCAGGAAGCUUAACUGUGUACAUUCAAACAUACAGAAGGCAAUAAUAUUAAAAGAUGAAACUUGAUUUAAUCA